ACCUCAUGAAGCCGGAAUCGCUAGUAAUCGCCAAUCAGCCAUGUGGCGAUGAAUAUGUUCCUGGGUCCUGCACUCAC
rnacentral:rRNA from 1 species